rnacentral:hammerhead_ribozyme from 1 species
AUCCAGUCGAUGAGUCUCAAAUAGGACGAAACACGUUUCAUGGAU